rnacentral:rRNA from 1 species
AGCGAACGCUGGCGGCAGGCUUAACACAUGCAAGUCGAGCGGGCACUUUCGGGUGUCAGCGGCGGACGGGUGAGUAACGCGUGGGAACGUGCCCUCUGGUUCGGAAUAACUCAGGGAAACUUGAGCUAAUACCGGAUACGCCCUUUUGGGGAAAGGCUUGCUGCCGGAGGAUCGGCCCGCGUCUGAUUAGCUAGUUGGUGAGGUAACGGCUCACCAAGGCGACGGUCAGUAGCUGGUCUGAGAGGAUGAUCAGCCACACUGGGACUGAGACACGGCCCAGACUCCUACGGGAGGCAGCAGUGGGGAAUAUUGGACAAUGGGCGCAAGCCUGAUCCAGCCAUGCCGCGUGAGUGAUCAAGGCCUUAGGGUUGUAAAGCUCUUUUAUCCGGGACGAUAAUGACGGUACCGGAGGAAUAAGCCCCGGCUAACUUCGUG